GACGAACGCUGGCGGCGUGCCUAAUACAUGCAAGUUGAGCGCUGAAGGUUGGUACUUGUACCAACUGGAUGAGCAGCGAACGGGUGAGUAACGCGUGGGGAAUCUGCCUUUGAGCGGGGGACAACAUUUGGAAACGAAUGCUAAUACCGCAUAAAAACUUUAAACACAAGUUUUAAGUUUGAAAGAUGCAAUUGCAUCGCUCAAAGAUGAUCCCGCGUUGUAUUAGCUAGUUGGUGAGGUAAAGGCUCACCAAGGCGAUGAUACAUAGCCGACCUGAGAGGGUGAUCGGCCACAUUGGAACUGAGACACGGCCCAAACUCCUACGGGAGGCAGCAGUAGGGAAUCUUCGGCAAUGGACGAAAGUCUGACCGAGCAACGCCGCAUGAGUGAAGAAGGUUUUCGGAUCGUAAAACUCUGUUGGUAGAGAAGAACGUUGGUGAGAGUGGAAAGCUCAUCAAGUGACGGUAACUACCCAGAAAGGGACGGCUAACUACGU
rnacentral:rRNA from 1 species